rnacentral:rRNA from 1 species
GACAGCUAGGAUGUUGGCUUGGAAGCAGCCAUUCAUUUAAAGAGUGGCAUUGUCGACACUAGUCGAGCGGACGAGCAUGGAUAAUAAUCGGGCAUAAGCAUACUACCGAAGCUAUGGAUUUUACGUAAGUAAAGUGGUAGGGGAGCAUUCUAAACUGGGUCGAAGGUGUGAUGUGAGUCAUGCUGGACUGUUUAGAAAAGAAAAUGUAGGCAUAAGUAACGAUAAUGCGGGCGAGAAACCCGCACACCGAAAAACUAAGGUUUCCGCAGCUAUGCUAAUCAGCUGCGGGUUAGUCGGGUCCUAAGGCGAACCCGAAAGGGACAGUCGAUGGCCAACGGGUUAAUAUUCCCGUACUUCUUAUUGCUGUGAUGGGGUGACGGAGUGAUGAAAGCGCCGCGAACUGACGGAAUAGUUCGUUGAAGUACCUACCUAUAAGAGAUGCAGGCAAAUCCACAUCUUUUGGGGAAAUACGAUAGUACUCGGAGUCUUCGGACAAAGAGAUAGUGCGCCUAAGGGCUUCCAAGAAAAACCUCUAAACUUCAGGCAAUGAGAACCAGUACCGUAAACCGACACAGGUAGUUGAGGAGAGAAUCCUAAGGUGCUCGAGAGAUUCAUGGCUAAGGAAUUAGGCAAAAUAGACCUGUAACUUCGGGAGAAAGGUCGCCAGCAGCAAUGCUGGCCGCAGUGAAAAGAUCCAGGCGACUGUUUAUCAAAAACACAGGGCUCUGCAAAAUCGUAAGAUGAAGUAUAGGGCCUGACACCUGCCCGGUGCUGGAAGGUUAAGAGGAGAUGUUAUCUUCGGAGAAGCAUUGAAUUGAAGCCCCAGUAAACGGCGGCCGUAACAAUAACGGUCCUAAGGUAGCGAAAUUCCUUGUCGGGUAAGUUCCGACCUGCACGGAAUGGCGUAACGAUCUGAUACUGUCUCAGCCAUGAGCUCGGUGAAAUUGUAGUAACGGUGAAGAUGCCGUUUACCCGCAGUGGGACGAAAAGACCCUGUGCACCUUUACUAUAGCUUAGUAUUGACUUUGGACAAGUGAUGUGUAGGAUAGGUGGGAGACUUCGAUCCUGCGUCGCCAGGCGUAGGUUAGUCAUUGUUGAAAUACCACCCUUUGCUUGUCUGAAGCCUAACCCCGCUGUGCGGGGGACAUUGCUUGGUGGGUAGUUUGACUGGGGUGGUCGCCUCCAAAAGAGUAACGGAGGCUUCUAAAGGUUCCCUCAGCACGCUUGGUAACCGUGCGUAGAGUGCAAUGGCAUAAGGGAGCUUGACUGAGAGACAUACAGGUCGAUCAGGUACGAAAGUAGAGCAUAGUGAUCCGGUGGUUCCGCAUGGAAGGGCCAUCGCUCAAAGGAUAAAAGGUACGCCGGGGAUAACAGGCUGAUCUCCCCCAAGAGCUCAUAUCGACGGGGGGGUUUGGCACCUCGAUGUCGGCUCGUCACAUCCUGGGGCUGGAGAAGGUCCCAAGGGUU